rnacentral:rRNA from 1 species
AAGACCUUGCACUUUUGGAGCGGCCGAUGUCUGAUUAGCUAGUUGGUGGGGUAAAGGCCUACCAAAGCUUCGAUCAGUAGCUGGUCUGAGAGGACGGCCAGCCACACUGGGGCUGAGACACGGCCCAGACUCCUACGGGAGGCAGCAGUGGGGAAUUUUGGACAAUGGGCGCAAGCCUGAUCCAGCCAUGCCGCGUGAGUGAAGAAGGCCUUCGGGUUGUAAAGCUCUUUCAGCCGGGAAGAAAAGGCUGCGACUAAUAAUCGCAGUUCAUGACGGUACCGGAAGAAGAAGCACCGGCUAACUACGUGCCAGCAGCCGCGGUAAUACGUAGGGUGCGAGCGUUAAUCGGAAUUACUGGGCGUAAAGGGUGCGCAGGCGGUUUUGUAAGUCAGAUGUGAAAUCCCCGGGCUUAACCUGGGAACU